CCUACGGGAGGCAGCAGUGAGGAAUAUUGGUCAAUGGUCGGGAGACUGAACCAGCCAAGCCGCGUGAGGGAUGAAGGUACAGAGUAUCGUAAACCUCUUUUGUCAGGGAACAAAGGCGGGGACGUGUCCCCGGAUGAGUGCACCUGAAGAAAAAGCAUCGGCUAACUCCGUGCCAGCCGCCGCGGUAAUACGGAGGAUGCGAGCGUUAUCCGGAUUUAUUGGGUUUAAAGGGUGGGCAGGCGGUCUGUUAAGUCAGCGGUCAAAGCCCGGGGCUCAACCCCGGCCCGCAGUUGAAACUGGCAGUCUCGAGUUGGAGAGAAGUAUGCGGAAUGCGCGGUGUAGCGGUGAAAUGCAUAGAUAUCGCGCAGAACUCCGAUUGCGAAGGCAGCAUGCCGGCUCCACACUGACGCUGAGGCACGAAAGCGUGGGUAUCGAACAGGAUUAGAUACCCGGGUAGUC
rnacentral:rRNA from 1 species